GAGUUUGAUCCUGGCUCAGAGCGAACGUUAGCGGCAGGCUUAACACAUGCAAGUCGAGCGAGAAAGGGGCUUCGGCCCUGAGUAAAGCGGCGGACGGGUGAGUAACACGUGGGUAAUGUGCCCUUCAGCGGGGGAUAACAGUCCGAAAGGAUUGCUAAUACCGCAUACGUCGACAGAUACCUUGGUGUCUGUCGGGAAAGAUGGCCUCUCCAUGGAAGCUAUCUCUGAAGGAGCAGCUCGCGGCCCAUCAGCUAGUUGGCGGGGUAAUGGCCCACCAAGGCAAAGACGGGUAGCUGGUCUGAGAGGAUGAUCAGCCACACUGGAACUGAGACACGGUCCAGACUCCUACGGGAGGCAGCAGUGGGGAAUAUUGGGCAAUGGGGGAAACCCUGAUGCAGCGACGCCGCGUGAGCGAUGAAGCCCUUCGGGGUGUAAAGCUCUUUCGGCAGGGAAGAUAGUGACGGUACCUGCAGAAGCAGCUGCGGCUAACUACGUGCCAGCAGCCGCGGUAAUACGUAGGCAGCGAGCGUUGUUCGGAGUUACUGGGCGUAAAGGGUGUGUAGGCGGUUGUUUAAGUUUGGUGUGAAAUCUCCCGGCUCAACUGGGAGGGUGCGCCGAAUACUGAAUGACUAGAGUACGGGAGAGGAAAGUGGAAUUCCUGGUGUAGCGGUGAAAUGCGUAGAUAUCAGGAGGAACACCGGUGGUGUAGACGGCUUUCUGGACCGUAACUGACGCUGAGACACGAAAGCGUGGGUAGCAAACAGGAUUAGAUACCCUGGUAGUCCACGCCCUAAACGAUGCAUAUUUGGUGUGGGCAGUUCAUUCUGUCUGUGCCGGAGCUAACGCGUUAAAUAUGCCGCCUGGGGAGUACAGUCGCAAGGCUGAAACUCAAAGGAAUUGACGGGGGCCCGCACAAGCGGUGGAGCAUGUGGUUCAAUUCGACGCAACGCGAAGAACCUUACCUGGGCUCGAACGGCUUCCCAACGGCGGUGGAAACAUCGCUACCCCGCAAGGGGGUGGAGUCGAGGUGCUGCAUGGCUGUCGUCAGCUCGUGUCGUGAGAUGUUGGGUUAAGUCCCGCAACGAGCGCAACCCUUGUCCUGUGUUGCCAUGCCGAAAGGCGGAACUCGCAGGAGACCGCCAGCGAUAAGCUGGAGGAAGGUGGGGAUGACGUCAAGUCCUCAUGGCCUUUAUGUCCAGGGCUACACACGUGCUACAAUGGCCGGUACAAAGCGUCGCCAACCCGCGAGGGUGAGCCAAUCGCUAAAAGCCGGUCUAAGUUCGGAUUGCAGUCUGCAACUCGACUGCAUGAAGCCGGAAUCGCUAGUAAUCGUGGAUCAGCCACGCCACGGUGAAUACGUUCCCGGGCCUUGUACACAC
rnacentral:rRNA from 1 species